rnacentral:rRNA from 1 species
AGCGAACGUUUGCGGCGGGCUUAACACAUGCAAGUCGAACGAGAAUCCCUUCGGGGAGGAAAGUGACGCACGGGUGCGUAACACGUGGAUAACCAACCCAUUGGUUUGGGACAACACCGGGAAACUGGUGCUAAUACCAGAUGUGUCGCAGCUGUCUUCAGGCGGUUGCGAGAAAGGCCCGCAAGGGUCGCCAACGGACGGGUCCGCGUCCCAUCAGCUAGUUGGUGAGGUAAUGGCUCACCAAGGCAAAGACGGGUAGCUGGUCUGAGAGGAUGAUCAGCCACACUGGAACUGAGACACGGUCCAGACUCCUACGGGAGGCAGCAGUGGGGAAUAUUGCGCAAUGGGCGAAAGCCUGACGCAGCCACGCCGCGUGAGCGAUGAAGGUCUUCGGAUCGUAAAGCUCUGUGGGGGGAGAAGAAGAAAGCCGGUGAAGAGCCGGCCCUGACGGUAUCCCCUUAGCAAGCACCGGCUAACUCCGUGCCAGCAGCCGCGGUAA